UAAUACAUGCAAGUCGAGCGCGGGAAGCCGGCGGACUCCUUCGGGAGGAAACCGGUGGAACGAGCGGCGGACGGGUGAGUAACACGUGGGCAACCUGCCGGACUGAUGGGAAUAACCCCGGGAAACCGGGGCUAAUGCCCAAUACGCCCUGACCUCGCCUGAGGUCAGCGGUAAAGCAGGGAUCUUCGGAUCCUUGCACAGUCCGAUGGGCCCGCGGCGCAUUAGCUAGUUGGAGAGGUAAGGGCUCCCCAAGGCGACGAUGCGUAGCCGACCUGAGAGGGUGAUCGGCCACACUGGGACUGAGACACGGCCCAGACUCCUACGGGAGGCAGCAGUAGGGAAUCAUCCGCAAUGGGCGAAAGCCUGACGGUGCAACGCCGCGUGAGUGAUGAAGGUUUUCGGAUCGUAAAGCUCUGUUGACAGGGAAGAACCCACGUCAGUCGAACAGGCUGGCGUGCUGACGGUACCUGUCCAGAAAGCCCCGGCUAACUACGUGCCAGCAGCCGCGGUAAUACGUAGGGGGCAAGCGUUGUCCGGAAUUAUUGGGCGUAAAGGGCACGCAGGCGGUUUCGUCAGUCCGAUGUGACAGGCCACGGCUCAACCGUGGAAGGCCAUUGGAAACUGCGAAACUUGAGGACAGAAGAGGAGAGUGGAAUUCCACGUGUAGCGGUGAAAUGCGUAGAUAUGUGGAGGAACACCAGUGGCGAAGGCGACUCUCUGGUCUGUACCUGACGCUGAGGUGCGAAAGCAUGGGGAGCAAACAGGAUUAGAUACCCUGGUAGUCCAUGCCGUAAACGCUG
rnacentral:rRNA from 1 species